AUUGAACGCUGGCGGAAUGCUUUACGCAUGCAAGUCGAACGGCAGCACGGACUUCGGUCUGGUGGCGAGUGGCGAACGGGUGAGUAAUAUAUCGGAACGUAUCCAAUAAUGGGGGAUAACUAAUCGAAAGGUUGGCUAAUACCGCAUACGUCCUACGGGAGAAAGCUAGGGACCUUCGGGCCUGGCGUUAAUGGAGCGGCCGAUAUCGGAUUAGCUAGUUGGUGAGGUAAAGGCUCACCAAGGCGACGAUCCGUAGCUGGUCUGAGAGGACGACCAGCCACACUGGAACUGAGACACGGUCCAGACGCCUACGGGAGGCAGCAGUGGGGAAUUUUGGACAAUGGGCGAAAGCCUGAUCCAGCCAUUCCGCGUGAGUGAAGAAGGCCUUCGGGUUGUAAAGCUCUUUCGCGAGAGAAGAAAACUUACCCUCUAACAUAGGGUGAGGUUGACGGUACCUUGAUAAGAAGCACCGGCUAACUACGUGCCAGCCGCCGCUGUAA
rnacentral:rRNA from 1 species